UCUUCUGCAGCAAUGCGAUUUGACUCGUAUCUUUGUUGAUCGAGUUUAAAGAAAGCUAGAGGAUGGUCAGUUUAGACUAGCCCGAGUGCUAAGCAUUCUUGGGUCUAGGCUGGACUUUUCAUGUUAUCUAUUUUUUA
rnacentral:misc_RNA from 1 species